rnacentral:rRNA from 1 species
GAUGAACGCUGGCGGCGUGCCUAAUACAUGCCAGUCGAGCGAACAGACGAGGAGCUUGCUCCUCUGACGUUAGCGGCGGACGGGUGAGUAACACGUGGAUAACCUACCUAUAAGACUGGGAUAACUUCGGGAAGCCGGAGCUAAUACCGGAUAAUAUAUUGAACCGCAUGGUUCAAUAGUGAAAGACGGUUUUGCUGUCACUUAUAGAUGGAUCCGCGCCGCAUUAGCUAGUUGGUAAGGUAACGGCUUACCAAGGCAACGAUGCGUAGCCGACCUGGGAGGGUGAUCGGCCACACUGGAACUGAGACACGGUCCAGACUCCUACGGGAGGCAGCAGUAGGGAAUCUUCCGCAAUGGGCGAAAGCUUGACGGAGCAACGCCGCGUGAGUGAUGAAGGUCUUCGGAUCGUAAAACUCUGUUAUUAGGGAAGAACAAAUGUGUAAGUAACUAUGCACGUCUUGACGGUACCUAAUCAGAAAGCCACGGCUAACUACGUG